rnacentral:rRNA from 1 species
CAGCCGCCGCGGGAAUACAGAGGGUGCGAGCGUUAAUCGGAUUUACUGGGCGUAAAGCGUGCGUAGGCGGCUUCUUAAGUCGGAUGUGAAAUCCCUGAGCUUAACUUAGGAAUUGCAUUCGAUACUGGGAAGCUAGAGUAUGGGAGAGGAUGGUAGAAUUCCAGGUGUAGCGGUGAAAUGCGUAGAGAUCUGGAGGAAUACCGAUGGCGAAGGCAGCCAUCUGGCCUAAUACUGACGCUGAGGUACGAAAGCAUGGGGAGCAAACAGGAUUAGAUACCCCCGUAGUCCCUGUCUCUUAUAC